GAUGAAGAACGUAGCGAAAUGCGAUAAGUAAUGAGAAUUGCAGAAUUCAGUGAAUCAUCGAAUCUUUGAACGCACCUUGCACCCUUUGGCAUUCUGAAGGGUAUGCUCGUUUGAGUGUCAUUGUACUCUCACACUCCCGAUCUUUGCAUUGGGAGCAGUGGACUUGGGUUUGCUGCUUCACCGUCGCUUACCUCAAAUAGGUUAGUGCAACUCUUGGUUGGACAUAGUACGGCGUGAUAAGUGUUCUUCGCCGGUGCCUCGCAAAGAGGGUGGCCGAUCGGGAUGUUGUGCUCCAAACCGUCUUCGGACAAUCUCUGACGACUUGACCUCAAAUCGAGUAAGACUACCCGCUGAACUUAAGCAUAUCAAUAAGCGGAGGA
rnacentral:misc_RNA from 1 species